AGGACUUUCCGUGGGUGGGAACAGGGAGGCAACCCACCAAGCCAAGGCGCCAGGCUGCUGUGGGGAAGAAAGCUGGUGCGGCUCUGAAACCCGUGGGCGGAAUGAAGCCAGUUCCCGGAACUUCAUCCUGCCUCACCCUCCUUAGAAAUUAGAAGGAAUAUGGUCCCUUAGCGCAAUGCUUUGGGAAGUUCUUUGGCAAUGUUUGCCAGGAGCAGAAGAAAUGUCUUGCUCUUUGGCCCACUCAUUCUCCUUAGGGAAUUGAGCCAUCCUCUGCCUGACUGCCAAAGGGAUUUUUGCAAAACACAAUCAUGUAGUCCUGUCUUCACCUCCCUGCUUAAAAAUCCGUGACACUUCCACCAUCUAGGACAACUUACUUUUUUUUUUAUUUUUUAUUUUUGAGAUGGAGUUUCACUCUUGUUGCCCAGACUGGAGUGCAAUAGUGCAGUGGCGCGAUCUCUGCUCACUGCAGCCUCCGCUUCCCGGGUCAAGCAUUUCUCCUGCCUCAGCCUCCCGGAUAGCUGAGAUAACAGGCGCCCACCACCAUGCCCAGCUUUUUUUUUUUUUUUUUUUUUUUUUAAGAGGGAGUCUCGCUCUGUCGCCCAGGCUGGAGUGCAGUGGCGCGGUCUCGGCUCACUGCAACCUCCGCCUCCUGGGUGCAUGCGAUUCUCCUGCCACAGCCUCCUGAGUAGCUGGGAUUACAGUCCCACGCCACCAUGCCCGGCUAAUUUUUGUAUAUUUAGUAGAGACAGGGUUUCAUCAUGUUGGUCAGGCUGGUCUUGAACUCCUGACCUCAUAUGAUCCACCUGCCUCGGCCUCCCAAAGUGCUGGGAUUACAAGCGUGAGCCAACGAGCCUAGCCAUUUUUGUAUUUUUAGUAGAGAUGAGGUUUCUCCAUAUUGGUCAGGCUGUUCUCGAACUCCUGACCUUAGGUGAUUCACCCACCUCGGCCUCCCAAAGUGCUGGGAUUACAGGCGUGAGCCACCACACCCAGCUAUUUUUGUUUUUGAGACAGGAUCUGGCUCUGUCGCCCAGGCUGGAGUGCAGUGGUGCAAUCUUGACAUACUGCAACCUCAGCCUCCUGGGCUCAAGCGAUCCUCCCACUUCAGCCUCCCAAGUAGCUGGGACUACAGGCACAUGCCACCACACCCGGCUAAUUUUUCUUUUUCUUUUCUCUCUCUCUCUCC
rnacentral:lncRNA from 10 species